CCAGUAGCGUAUAUUAAAGUUGUUGCAGUUAAAAAGCUCGUAGUUGAAUUUCGGGGUUAGUAGGUUGGUCGUGCCUCAGGUAUGUACUGAUCUCACUGAUUCCUCCUUCCUGAUGAACCGUAAUGCCAUUAAUUUGGUGUUGCGGGGAAACUGGACUGUUACUUUGAAAAAAUUAGAGUGUUUAAAGCAGGCUAACGCUUGAAUACAUUAGCAUGGAAUAAUGAAAUAGGACGUUCGAUCCUAUUUUGUUGGUUUCUAGGAUUGACGUAAUGAUUAAUAGGGAUAGUUGGGGGCAUUAGUAUUCAAUUGUCAGAGGUGAAAUUCUUGGAUUUAUUGAAGACUAACUACUGCGAAAGCAUUUGCCAAGGAUGUUUUCAUUAAUCAAGAACGAAAGUUAGGGGAUCGAAGACGAUCAGAUACCGUCGUAGUCUUAACCAUAAACUAUGCCGACUAGGGAUCGGAUGAUGUUAAUUUUUUAAUGACUCAUUCGGCGCCUUACG
rnacentral:rRNA from 1 species